rnacentral:rRNA from 1 species
UACGGGGGGAGCAAGCGUUGUUCGGAUUUACUGGGCGUAAAGAGCGUGUAGGCGGCCAGACAGGUCCGUUGUGAAAACUCGAGGCUCAACCUCGAGACGUCGAUGGAAACCGUCUGGCUAGAGUCCGGAAGAGGAGAGUGGAAUUCCUGGUGUAGCGGUGAAAUGCGCAGAUAUCAGGAAGAACACCUAUGGCGAAGGAAGCUCUCUGGGACGGUACUGACGCUGAGACGCGAAAGCGUGGGGAGCGAACAGG